UACGGAGGGUGCAAGCGUUAUCCGGAUUCACUGGGUUUAAAGGGUGUGUAGGCGGGCUUUUAAGUCAGCGGUGAAAUCUCCGGGCUCAACCCGGAAACUGCCAUUGAUACUAUUAGUCUUGAAUAUCGUUGAGGUUGGCGGAAUAUAUCAUGUAGCGGUGAAAUGCAUAGAUAUGAUAUAGAACACCGAUUGCGAAGGCAGCUAACUAAGCGAUGAUUGACGCUGGAGGCAACGAAAGCGUGGGGAUCAAACAGG
rnacentral:rRNA from 1 species